AAAAUUUUUUCUCUAUCCUCUUUUACAUUUCUAUUUUCAGAACUUGAUUAACUUAUAUGAAAUAUUCUAUAUCCAUAAAUGAACAUUUCAAGUAACAACAUCCUGAUAAUUACAAUUAAUAAAAGAACCCAUUAAAAAUAUAAUAAAUUGUCGCAUCUCUAGAAGAUUUAAAGUUUUAGAUCAAAUUGUAUGAAACAUCCUGUGUCCACGAUAUUUAACUUUCAGUAGCAAAAUCAGGCAAUUACAAUCGAUAAAAGAAUUCAUUAAAAAAUUCAAUGAGUUGUCACACUUCUUAAAAGCCGUUCAUUACCUGGCUAUAACAUGAAAUAUUUCGAGGACAUCCAGUUCAUUAAAAACGAGUUCUCGACUCGUGAUAUUAAUUCUUCCCGAUGAUAAUUGAAGUAAGAAAGAAAAUAACAAUUUACUUGGAGCAACUUAAUACAAUGAGUUCAUUAAUGAGGAUCCAUACAUCACAGAUUAUGCAAGAUAUAUGAGUGUUGGCCACAGGCAUCGUUAAUUAACAGUUGAAUCAAAAUGAUCAUUCGAUGUGUAAUAGCAUCACAAUUAUUCACGUCGAUCGACACACUGCUGAUCACGUUAUACCCAUUGUCACUGCAUUUGACAGACGCGUCAAUCAAUUUAUAACACAGGCACGGAAGCUAUACGUCCCGUGCAUCCUGAAACAUGGCGAUCAGCGGAAGCCCUCGAAAGUGAAAAAUCCCUUGAAAAAUAGAACGGCUGCCAGGAUGAUCCGUUGUAUAUUGGAGAUAGUUUGGUGAAAAUUGAAAUUUUUCAUCGCGCCGCUUGAACCAUUGUGCAGGGCAGAGCAAAGCAGAGUAAAUUUUAAGGAAGGAAAUAGGAAGGAUAAAAGAUAUGAAAGGAUCAUAAAAAUAAGAAAUAGACAUGAAAAGAAGAGAAAAAGAUAGAUGAAGAUUAAGAAUAAGAAAAAGAAUGAAGAAAAAAAGAAAAAAAAGAGAAGA